rnacentral:rRNA from 1 species
AACAUGUGAAUAAUAUGGCAGCUACCUAUUGCUGCCGCGCACCCGCCCAUCUGUCGCAUGAGUACUCGUGGAAGGCCUCAUUAUACAGGUGGUCGGGAGAUCAAACGGGCGCAGCUCUGCGCCAAGGAAAAUAUGCAGCAUGAGCGUUGACGGCAUAUCCUAGAAACGUAUGUUUUGGCGGAUGGCAGUUUGCUCUCUAAGAGUCAUAGGACUCUCGGCAAUGGAUAUCUUGGCUCUCGCAUCGAUGAAGAGCGCAGCGAAAUGCGAUACGUGGUGCGAAUUGCAGAAUCCCGUGAACCAUCGAGUUUUUGAACGCAAGUUGCGCCUGAGGCCAUCUGGCCAAGGGCACGUCCGCCUGGGCGUCAAGCAUUAGCAUCGCUCCACUUAACACGCACCAUCAUCGAGAUGGGGCGGUGUUAUCCAGGAUGCGGGAAUGGCCCGUCGUGCAUUGCUGCGCGGCGGGUUGAAGAGAGGGAUGAUUUCUCUYGGCGACGAUCGAUAAAUGGGUGGGAUGGAAGCCCCAAUUGAUCCUCAUCAUCGUAUGGUCGCCUUGAGAAAGCUAACAAAUCCCGGCGUAACCCGGCUCAAGUGCUGUUUGAAGCAAAAUUGAAAUGCGACCCCAGGAUGGGCGGGGUGACCCGCUGAGUUUAAGCAUAUCAAUAA